UACGGGGGGGGGUAAGCGUUGUUCGGAAUUACUGGGCGUAAAGGGCCAGUAGGCGGCCAACUAAGUCCGACGUGAAAUCCCAAGGCUUAACCUUGGAACUGCGUCGGAUACUGGAUGGCUUGAAUUCGGGAGAGGGAUGCAGAAUUCCAGGUGUAGCGGUGAAAUGCGUAGAUAUCUGGAGGAAUACCGGUGGCGAAGGCGGCAUCCUGGACCGACAUUGACGCUGAACGGCGAAAGCUAGGGGAGCAAACGGG
rnacentral:rRNA from 1 species